UACGUAGGGCGCAAGCGUUGUCCGGAAUUAUUGGGCGUAAAGAGCUCGUCGGCGGUCUGUCGCGUCGGAUGUGAAAACCCAGGGCUCAACCCUGGGCCUGCAUUCGAUACGGGCAGACUAGAGUUCGGUAGGGGAGACUGGAAUUCCUGGUGUAGCGGUGAAAUGCGCAGAUAUCAGGAGGAACACCGGUGGCGAAGGCGGGUUGCUGGGCUGAUACUGACGCUGAGGCGCGAAAGCCAGGGGAGCGAACGGG
rnacentral:rRNA from 1 species